rnacentral:rRNA from 1 species
AUGAACGCUGGCGGCGCGCCUAACACAUGCAAGUCGAACGGCACCCCUCUCCGGAGGGAAGCGAGUGGCGAACGGCUGAGUAACACGUGGAGAACCUGCCCCCUCCCCCGGGAUAGCCGCCCGAAAGGACGGGUAAUACCGGAUACCCCGGGGUGCCGCAUGGCACCCCGGCUAAAGCCCCGACGGGAGGGGAUGGCUCCGCGGCCCAUCAGGUAGACGGCGGGGUGACGGCCCACCGUGCCGACAACGGGUAGCCGGGUUGAGAGACCGACCGGCCAGAUUGGGACUGAGACACGGCCCAGACUCCUACGGGAGGCAGCAGUGGGGAAUCUUGCGCAAUGGGGGGAACCCUGACGCAGCGACGCCGCGUGCGGGACGGAGGCCUUCGGGUCGUAAACCGCUUUCAGCAGGGAAGAGUCAAGACUGUACCUGCAGAAGAAGCCCCGGCUAACUACGUGCCAGCAGCCGCGGUAAUACGUAGGGGGCGAGCGUUAUCCGGAUUCAUUGGGCGUAAAGCGCGCGUAGGCGGCCCGGCAGGCCGGGGGUCGAAGCGGGGGGCUCAACCCCCCGAAGCCCCCGGAACCUCCGCGGCUUGGGUCCGGUAGGGGAGGGUGGAACACCCGGUGUAGCGGUGGAAUGCGCAGAUAUCGGGUGGAACACCGGUGGCGAAGGCGGCCCUCUGGGCCGAGACCGACGCUGAGGCGCGAAAGCUGGGGGAGCGAACAGGAUUAGAUACCCUGGUAGUCCACACAGUAAACGAUGAAUACUCGCUGUUUGCGAUAUACGGUAAGCGGCCAAGCGAAAGCGUUAAGUAUUCCACCUGGGGAGUACGACCGCAAGGUUGAAACUCAAAGGAAUUGACGGGGGCCCGCACAAGCAGCGGAGCAUGUGGCUUAAUUCGAAGCAACGCGAAGAACCUUACCAGGUCUUGACAUCCGAUGCAUAGCUUAGAGAUAAGUGAAGUCCUUCGGGACAUCGAGACAGGUGGUGCAUGGUUGUCGUCAGCUCGUGUCGUGAGAUGUUGGGUUAAGUCCCGCAACGAGCGCAACCCCCGCCGCGUGUUGCCAUCGGGUGAUGCCGGGAACCCACGCGGGACCGCCGCCGUCAAGGCGGAGGAGGGCGGGGACGACGUCAAGUCAUCAUGCCCCUUAUGCCCUGGGCUGCACACGUGCUACAAUGGCCGGUACAGAGGGAUGCCACCCCGCGAGGGGGAGCGGAUCCCGGAAAGCCGGCCCCAGUUCGGAUUGGGGGCUGCAACCCGCCCCCAUGAAGUCGGAGUUGCUAGUAAUCGCGGAUCAGCAUGCCGCGGUGAAUGCGUUCCCGGGCCUUGUACACACCGCCCGUCACACCACCCGAGUCGUCUGCACCCGAAGUCGCCGGCCCAACCGAGAGGGGGGAGGCGCCGAAGGUGUGGAGGGUGAGGGGGGUG